GAAUAGCUGGUCUGAUUGGAGCUGGUCUCAUCCCGCCCUUAUACACUUCUCUUGUAUACUCAUUCUAUCAUGUACGCCAGAGCCACAAAAAAGGAAGGAUAUCUUUGAGGACAGCCAAGUCCAGCCGAAGCAGUCUGCAUGCACCAGAUGGUGAGCUGUGGUUGGGAAAAGGCAAGCAAGGCCUUUGAGCUGGUCUCAGGAAGUCCUUUGGUAAUCUCCGGCAAGGGUAAUGCCUCUUUUGCCUCCUGCUGAAUCCUUGAGAUUCGCUAUAGCUCCAUCCGGUUGUUAUCCUUCAUCCCAGUUGCCAUGCCACAAGAGUUCCAUGGUUACCUGGCUACCGGAGUUUGUUGCCAUCCAUUCCAUUCUGUGCCAUCUUAAAAAUAAACAAAGGAUUCGCAUGCAGACACACAAGGUGUAUGGACAACUCUCGUAUUUUCCUAAAUUCUCCUGUUUUUGAGUGUGCGAGGCAGGAUGCUGACAGGCAGGAGUGGUCUUCAGUGUGCGGCAGUCAACCCCAAAGGUCCUUUCCCUCUAGGCCCAUUCCCAAGACACAUCUGGAUCCAUCACAACACACCGCAGGACAGCUUGGAUAAAGCCUGCCAUGAGAUCUGGAAGAGGGUCCAAGGACUCCCCGAGGAACUCCAGCCAAGGUCUUCAUCACCACUUCUCCAACUUAACUGUCGCCCGGUCACGUCUUCAGAGGCCCUUCGAGAAGACAGCAGCAGUACAAGCAGCAACUCUCAAAAGGAAUCUUUGGAGACCAACAUUUGCAAAGAUGAAAUUUCCCUGUUGGUUGAGCAAGAAUAUUUGAGCCUUGCCCAGGAGAAUGCCACUGAGCUGGAGAUGCAAAGGUCUGAAAAUGAUAAGAUGACCCCUGGCUCCUCAUUUCAGGUCCUAUCUAACAACAACCUCCCUACGCCUUCUGAUGGAGACCAGACAUUCGAGGAGCGGGAUGCCAUGGAAAAUGUUUACAGAGCCCUCACUGGGAAUAAAAGGGAGAUGAAACUGCAGUCUGUCUGUGAUGUCCAGCUGUCCACUAAAUCUACCAUCACAGGGAUCUUGCUCCCUGCAAAAUAUAUCUACAAGAAUGCCAAAAGUGCAGAAAGUGGGAACAGUAACACAAUGGGUUCCAACACGCAGAUUGCUAAGCUUUUGGCCCAGUUCCCGCUCAAACGUGUUGAGGCCGCCAAAGGGCUGGACAACAAGAUGGUGACUGAUGAGACCAAGCUGAUCAAGGACCUGCUGCAAAACAACAUGUUUGUCUCUGCAGCCCACAAAGACAACGUCACAAGGCCGUCCCCAAUCAUGACAGUGGUGGAAAGCUCCGGUGUGGGGCAGAAAAAGCAGCUCCCUGUGUUUGCCAAGAUCUGCUCAAAAACGGAACCUGAACUGGUUGCUGAUGGAUUGUGUCAAAACAAUGCCACUUCAGCAGCCAUUGAUAAGAACAACAUGAAAUAUAGUGGGAAUGUUUUCACCCCACGGUUCCCAACAACCUCCAAGACCACCUCGUUAAAACAACCAAUGUGGCUUAGCCUUAAUUACCCUCCGCCUCCCGUUUUCCCAAACCACUCGAACUUUCCGCAAUACCAGAGUUUGUAUCAGCAGAGAGCACGGAUCCCAUACCAGCAGACGUUACAUCCUCAGCUGGGAUGCUAUUCCAGGCAGGUAACUCCUUACAACCCGCAGCAAAUCUUCCGGUCACCAUACACGCCUGUCCUCAGCUACAUCCCCUUGGUUCAGCCCGGUUACUCUUACCAGCAGAGGAACCCCACCAAGCCAUCCAGCAGUGUGCGGGAUCCUCCAGCAAUGGCGGGAGACGGGCCACAGUAUCCUUUUUCUCCUUCCUAUGGGUUCACAUCUACCACAACCGGACCUGUAAGAGCCAACCCUUAUUUCUCUUCUAAUGGAGGUAGCAGUAGUUUUUAACUCUCCAAGCACUUUUUGCUUACUUAAUUGAAGACCUGGACAUUUUGAGAACAGCAAGAAAUGCUUGGUGGUUAUAUGCAUGGACUUCUGUUUGAACAUUUUUCGCUGAGGUUAAAAGAAUUCAGGUCUGAAUUACUUGGUGUAAUUUCGGGACCUAAGGAACAGCAGGCUGGCAGUUCAUCCAGAUGAGCAGAAUUUUGUGUACCAAGAAAUGCUUAGAUGUUAGGUGAUUAAAGCACACUGCUGAGGAGCACAUGGCCGCAGAUGAAAGGAGUGAAGGAUAACCUGGCACCCGAAUAUUAUACUUUCUAAUAAGAUUAAUUUGGUUGCUUGUGAAUGGAGAGGCACAGCGGCAAUGAGGAGGCGUCUGUCAGGGACUUAUGGAAAGAGGCAAGAGCUCUUAUUAAAGCAGUGGAUGGUGGCACGUGUUUCAAUCGCGGCGAAUUAGACGGAGACGUGAGUGUCAGGGACACGCGGGGAGGACUCAGUCCCAACGGCAGGAACCAGGACCAGCUCUCAGAAAAAGGUCCAGGUCCAGGGAUCCAUGCAGGAGGGGAUCCUGGGCAACCAAACGAGGUGCAAGACUGUAGGUGGCAGUCAGGUGGACUCCAUGCAGCUUCUGAAGGUCAAUGGGCGAGAAGAUCUAAUGUGAACACCAAGCAGGCAGAUAUGAAACGGAAAUCCAGGCAUACGGUAGGCUUGGAGAAACAAGCACAGCCCGGUAGCUUUGCAUCCGCUCCACCAUCAUCUGAGAUGAAUACCAAAGCCUACCAAAGAAAUCCAUCAUAUGUUGGUUGUUUAUUGAUUUCCAAUUCAAAGUGCUGGUUCUCACCUACAAAACCCUUAUGGGAUUACCACCUG